rnacentral:tRNA from 1 species
GGAGAGGUCGCAUAGUCUGGCCUAGUGCGCGCGUCUCGAAAACGCGUAGGGUUUUACGGCCCUCGAGGGUUCGAAUCCCUCCCUCUCCG